AGAGUUUGAUCCUGGCUCAGGAUGAACGCUGGCGGCGUGCCUAACACAUGCAAGUCGAACGAAGCGCCUGCGGCGGACCCCUCCGGGGGAAAGCCGCGGGGGACUGAGUGGCGGACGGGUGAGCAACGCGUGGGCAACCUGCCCCGUACCGGGGGACAACAGCCGGAAACGGCUGCUAAUACCGCAUAUUCCCGCGGGGCCGCAUGGCCCUGCGGGGAAAGCUCCGGCAGUACGGGAUGGGCCCGCGUCUGAUUAGCUUGUUGGCGGGGUAACCGCCCACCAAAGCUGCCAUCAGUAGCCGGCCUGAGAGGGCGGCCCGCCACCUUGGGACUGACACACGGCCCACACUCCUGCGGGAGGCAGCAGUGGGGGAUAUUGCACAAUGGGGGGAACCCUGAUGCAGCGACGCCGCGUGAACGAAGAAAUAUUUCGGUAUGUAAAGUUCUAUCAGCAGGGAAGAAAAUGACAGUACCUGACCAAGAAGCCCCGGCUAACUACGUGCCAGCAGCCGCGGUAAUACGUAGGGGGCGAGCGUUAUCCGGAUUCACUGGGCGUAAAGGGAGCGCAGGCGGCACGGCAAGUCCGGUGUGAAAGCCCGGGGCCCAACCCCGGGACUGCACUGGAAACUGCCGGGCUGGAGUGUCGGAGGGGCAGGCGGAAUUCCUAGUGUAGCGGUGAAAUGCGUAGAUAUUAGGAGGAACACCGGUGGCGAAGGCGGCCUGCUGGACGACGACUGACGCUGAGGCUCGAAAGCGUGGGGAGCAAACAAAAGUAGAUACCCUGGUAGUCCACGCCGUAAACGA
rnacentral:rRNA from 1 species